UACGUAGGGUGCGAGCGUUGUCCGGAAUUAUUGGGCGUAAAGAGCUUGUAGGCGGUUUGUCGCGUCUGCUGUGAAAAUCCGAGGCUCAACCUCGGACUUGCAGUGGGUACGGGCAGACUAGAGUGUGGUAGGGGAGACUGGAAUUCCUGGUGUAGCGGUGGAAUGCGCAGAUAUCAGGAGGAACACCGAUGGCGAAGGCAGGUCUCUGGGCCACUACUGACGCUGAGGAGCGAAAGCGUGGGGAGCGAACAGG
rnacentral:rRNA from 1 species